GCGGGUGUAGUUCAGUGGCAGAAUGCGAGCUUCCCAAGCUUGAGACGAGGGUUCGAUUCCCUUCACCCGCUCCA
rnacentral:tRNA from 1 species